rnacentral:rRNA from 1 species
UCGAGAAUCUUCGGCAAUGGGGGAAACCCUGACCGAGCGACGCCGCGUGUGGGAUGAAGGCCCUUGGGUUGUAAACCACUGUCAGAGGGGAUGAAGUGCUAGGGAGUUCUCUCCUUAGUUUGACAUAGCCUCAGAGGAAGCACGGGCUAAGUUCGUGCCAGCAGCCGCGGUAAGACGAACUGUGCAAACGUUAUUCGGAAUCACUGGGCUUGAAGAGUGCGUAGGCGGUUUUGUAAGUAGGGUGUGAAAGCCCCCGGCUCAACCGGGGAAUUGCGCCUUAAACUGCAAGGCUGGAGUGAGGUAGGGGUGUGUGGAACUUCCAGUGGAGCGGUGAAAUGUGUUGAUAUUGGAAGGAACGCCGGUGGCGAAAGCGACACACUGGACCUUGUCUGACGCUGAGGCACGAAAGCCAGGGGAGCAAACGG